CCCUUAGAUGUCCGGGGCUGCACGCGCGCUACACUGAAGGAAUCAGCGUGCUAAAACCAUUGUCGAAAGGCAUUGGUAAACCCAUUAAAAUCCUACGUGAUUGGGAUCGGGAAUUGCAAUUAUUUCCCUUGAACGAGGAAUUCCCAGUAAGUGUGGGUCAUAAGCUCGCGUUGAUUACGUCCCUGCCCUUUGUACACACCGCCCGUCGCUGCCCGGGACUGAGCCGUUUCGAGAAAAGUGGGGACUGCUGCUGUCGGGGCUUUCGGGCCUUGGCUUCGGUGGAAACCGCUUUAAUCGCAGUGGCUUGAACCGGGCAAAAGUCGUANCA
rnacentral:rRNA from 1 species